UACGAAGGGAGCUAGCGUUGUUCGGAAUCACUGGGCGUAAAGCGCACGUAGGCGGAUGUGUCAGUCAGGGGUGAAAUCCCGGAGCUCAACUUCGGAACUGCCCUUGAUACAGCACGUCUUGAGUCCGAGAGAGGUGGAUGGAAUUCCUAGUGUAGAGGUGAAAUUCGUAGGUAUUAGGAAGAACACCGGUGGCGAAGGCGGUCCACUGGCUCAGUACUGACGCUGAGGAGCGAAAGUGUGGGGAGCGAACAGG
rnacentral:rRNA from 1 species